rnacentral:rRNA from 1 species
UUUUUGUGUGGUUUUGAGUUGCACGGUGUCUGUAGGUGAACAUGCGGAAAGAUCAUUAUCACACCCAGAUACACGAUAUGUUUUUACACGUGAACCGGGGAGUGUAUGUGGCCUUGUGAAAACACAGAGGACAGCAGAGAGAGAGACACCUGUUGCUUUCAGUGGGUGUUGCUCGGCUAGACUCCCCAACCCCCUCUUUUUUACACCAUCACAUGAGAGACGGUGCCUUUUCAUGGAAGGUGGCCUGUGUAUCAGAAAACAAGCUCUCGCAAUGCACGGGUGGGAAGCCUGUAGAGCAAGGUGCUACUCCAUAAAAGGAUGUAUCAAACAACCCUCAGCACAGGAUGUGUAUGUGUCCACAAAGAUGAAGAACGCAGAGAAAUGUGAUAUGUAAUGUGAAAUGCAAGAUCUCGUGAAUCAUUAAAAUUUUGAACGCACACUGCGCUCCCCGGAUCUUUUCAGGGAGCACGCUUGUGUGAGUGUCAGAGAAUCUCGCUCGGGGCUUGAGUUGGGAGCACCCCAAGGGUGGCAGCCGGAAUUUGUUCCUGGGUUGGCUUUGUUCUCCCCCUGAAACAAAUCAAACCAACAAACGGUGGUGGGUGCCUGCGAGCUUGUCAGUUUUUCUUCUCUCCCUUUGGGAACAAGAGGAUGGACUGUGUCAUGCCGUGGGAUGUUAUAUCCUCGCGCUGGAAAGCCCUCGUCUUUUGCAAAUGGUGCAAGCCAGAACGAAGACUGGGGUGGCGUGGAGAUAAUCCCUUGUAGGUGCGAUGCAACUGUCUCCUGUUUUCAUGAGUUUGGAAAGAAUCCAAGCCUGCUGAAGCGUCGUUUGGAUGGUGCCAUUGUACCCAUCCUCCGAACCACCCUUCCUGAUCUCAGCUCAAGCAAGAGACCCCU